GUCAAUUUUAUCAAGCGAACGAUGAGGUCGACAUUGAGUUACCAUUAACCCUGUAUAUCUUUGAAGAGUUAAUAAGUUUUUUUAACAAAUGGCUAACUUGUUACCUAAUUUGUUUUUUACUCAUGUUAUUAAAUACAAUUAAGCAGGAUAGAAUCUUUGUAAGUAUUUGAUGUUUAUUAUCAAGUUCUUUGCACUUUUUUUAAGCUAGUCAACUUUUUAUCUAAUUGGUUACCAAAGACGUUGAAAAAUUGGUUAUAUUUAAUAUCCAAAAACUAAACCGUAAAUUAAUAAUUAUAAAAGUACUAAAUUGAUUCCAAAAAGAUAAGUUCUUGGUAAAAUAAAAUUGCAUAAGAUUUUAAUCUGAACGCUGCUAAAAAAGUGACAUUCUAAACAUGUCAACUGUCACUGCCAUAGAUGAUGAAUGACGAAUUCAAAGAGUUUAUGGGAUGUCUUGUAGUUGUGUUAUUACACAUGUAUAGUCAAUCAGUGUUUUCGGGAAAUCCGCGUUGUAAAUCCUACAAGCGAAUCUUCUAGCAGUGAAAUAAAAAAAAGUUCAACUUAUACAAUAUCUGAUUAUUUAUUCUAUUACUUACUUGCCUUUGACCAUCAAAUUGCGUUCGGAAUAAGUGAAAUCUAAAUAAAACUGAAUGUGGAAAAUAUUCUACUAAAACUGAUAUUCACUUGGAAAAUAACUAGGAAUAUAAAAUGGGUCCCCCAAAGAAGUUCAAAAAAUAUGAUUCAAGAACAGGAAGUGAUAGAUCAGGUAAAAAGAAGAAAGUAGAAGAAGAAGUGACCAUAGACUUGGUGGAUGAUGACAAUACCGAGAAUGUAGGAGUACCUGGUGCUGCCAUGCAGGAUGCUGAGAAAAAUGACCAAGUGCCAGAAGAUGAAUUCGGUGCCAAAGAUUACAGAAACCAAAUGCAACUGAAAACCGAUAAUGCCAGUCGGCCAUUGUGGGUGGCACCUAAUGGUCACAUAUUCUUAGAAGCAUUCUCACCCGUCUAUAAACAUGCUCAUGAUUUUCUCAUUGCUAUUGCUGAACCUGUGUGCCGGCCACAACACAUACAUGAGUACAAACUUACAGCUUACAGUUUAUAUGCUGCAGUGUCAGUGGGUUUGCAAACAGUGGACAUUAUUGAGUAUCUACAGAGGCUUAGUAAAUGCUCCGUACCAGCAGGCAUUAUAGAAUUUAUACAGCUUUGUACACUAUCCUAUGGAAAAGUGAAACUUGUGCUAAAACAUAACAGAUAUCUUGUGGAGAGUAAACACGUGGAAGUUCUCCAAAAAUUACUCCGUGACCCUGUAAUUCAGCAAUGUAGGCUAAGACGCGACGGCGAUGACGACUUCUUGUCGUCGGCACUGCCCGAUAAACCAGCAAUGUCUCUUAAACCAGGUGAAACAAGCGACAAACCGCCGGCGGCUAACGGCGCGGUACCUGAUGACAUCAGCCAGUUCUACCAGCAGUUGGACAAAGACGACGACGAGGACGAAGCCACCGACAUUACUGCCAAUACUGCCGUUGCUUUUGAAGUCGACCCUGAUAAAAUUGAGGUGAUACAAAAACGUUGCAUCGAGCUUGAACACCCAUUGUUAGCGGAAUAUGACUUCCGUAAUGACUCUAUCAACCCUGACAUCAAUAUAGAUUUGAAGCCCACCGCCGUGCUGCGCCCGUACCAGGAGAAAAGUCUUCGGAAAAUGUUCGGAAACGGUCGUGCGCGGUCGGGCGUGAUAGUGCUGCCGUGCGGCGCGGGCAAGUCGCUGGUGGGCGUCACGGCCGUGUGCACGGUCCGCAAGAGGGCGCUGGUGCUCUGUAACUCGGGCGUCUCCGUCGAGCAGUGGAAGCAACAGUUCAAGUGCUGGUCCACGGCUGACGACAGUAUGAUCUGCAGAUUUACGUCAGAAGCGAAAGACAAGCCGAUGGGUGCAGGUAUCCUGAUUACAACAUAUUCUAUGAUCACGCAUGGACAGCGACGCUCGUGGGAGGCCGAGCAGACCAUGAAGUGGCUGCAGGCGCAGGAGUGGGGACUUGUGGUUCUCGACGAGGUGCAUACCAUACCCGCCAAGAUGUUCCGAAGAGUACUAACCAUCGUGCACUCACAUGCUAAGCUUGGUUUGACUGCAACAUUACUUCGAGAAGACGACAAAAUCGCAGAUCUGAACUUCUUGAUUGGGCCAAAGUUGUACGAAGCGAACUGGUUGGAGCUACAAGCGAAUGGGUAUAUUGCGCGAGUGCAGUGCGCUGAGGUGUGGUGUCCCAUGACGCCGGAGUUUUACAGAGAAUAUCUUGUACAAAAAAUAAAUAAGAAAAUGUUGCUGUACGUAAUGAAUCCCUCAAAAUUCCGCGCGUGUCAGUUCCUGGUGAGGUAUCACGAACGACGCGGCGAUAAGACUAUUGUGUUCUCCGAUAAUGUAUUCGCCCUUCGACAUUACGCCGUCAAAAUGAAUAAGCCAUAUAUCUACGGACCCACGUCACAAAGCGAGAGAAUUCAGAUAUUGCAGAAUUUCAAAUUCAACCCUAAAGUGAAUACGAUAUUUGUGAGUAAAGUUGCUGACACUAGUUUUGAUUUACCGGAAGCAAAUGUUCUGAUUCAAAUCUCGUCUCAUGGUGGUUCACGGCGACAGGAAGCCCAACGAUUAGGUCGUAUAUUGAGAGCAAAGAAAGGUGCUUUAGCGGAGGAGUAUAACGCAUUCUUCUACACACUGGUGUCCCAAGACACAUUAGAAAUGGCUUACAGCCGCAAAAGACAGCGGUUUCUCGUCAAUCAAGGUUAUAGCUACAAGGUCAUCACAGAACUAAAGGGAAUGGAUCAGGAACCUGACCUACUGUAUGGUACACGGGAGGAGCAAGGCCUUCUAUUACAACAGGUGCUGGCUGCGUCUGAGACGGAGUGCGAGGAGGAGCGCGAGGGCGGCGUGGGGGGCGCGGGGUCGGGCGUGGCGCGGCGCGCGGGGGCGCUGUCGUCGCUGGCGGGCGCAGACGACGCGCUCUACUUCGAGCACCGCCGCAACGCCAACGCACAGAAACACCCGCUCUUCAAAAAGUUCCGAUACUAACAGCACUAUGUGCGUCGCUACAUCCAUACAUAUUCAACAUCUGAUCUCUGUAAAACUGAAAACGAAGGAGGAAUUCCUGAGUGGGCGUUGGUUGAGCUCCAGGGUCUUAUUCAGAUGAAAAAAGAAGGAGUCACAGAAGCAAC